rnacentral:rRNA from 1 species
AUUGAACGCUGGCGGCAUGCCUUACACAUGCAAGUCGAACGGCAGCGGACCUUCGGGUGCCGGCGAGUGGCGAACGGGUGAGUAAUAUAUCGGAACGUACCUUUCAGUGGGGGAUAACGUAGCGAAAGUUACGCUAAUACCGCAUAUUCUGUGAGCAGGAAAGCAGGGGAUCGCAAGACCUUGCGCUGAUUGAGCGGCCGAUAUCAGAUUAGCUAGUUGGUGAGGUAAAGGCUCACCAAGGCGACGAUCUGUAGCGGGUCUGAGAGGAUGAUCCGCCACACUGGAACUGAGACACGGUCCAGACUCCUACGGGAGGCAGCAGUGGGGAAUUUUGGACAAUGGGCGCAAGCCUGAUCCAGCCAUGCCGCGUGCAGGAUGAAGGCCCUAUGGGUUGUAAACUGCUUUAGACUGAGAAGAAACCCCUCAAUGCGUUGGGGGCUGACGGUAUCAGUAGAAUAAGCACCGGCUAACUCCGUG